CCCUUAGAUGUCCUGGGCCGCACGCGCGCUACACUGAGUGUCUGAGAUACGAGUCUGCCUGGUCCGGCAAGGUCUAGGUAAUCGCUAAAAGACACAUCAUGCUUGGGAUAGAUUAUUGCAAAUAUUAAUCUUGAACGAGGAAUUCCUAGUAAGCGCAAGUCAACAGCUUGCGUUGAUUACGUCCCUGCCCUUUGUACACACCGCCCGUCGCUACUACUGAUUGGAUGUUUAAGCGAGGUUCUCGAACUGCUAGCGACUUAGCUUCGGUGAGGUCGCAGUAUGGGAAGUGAACCUAGCUUUGGUGUCUAGAGGAAGUAAAAGUCGUAACA
rnacentral:rRNA from 1 species